rnacentral:rRNA from 1 species
UAACAAGGAUUCCCCUAGUAACUGCGAGUGAAGCGGGAAGAGCUCAAAUUUAAAAUCUGGCAGCUUCGCUGUCCGAGUUGUAAUCUGGAGAAGCAUUUUCCGCGUUGGACCGUGUACAAGUCUCUUGGAACAGAGCGUCAUAGAGGGUGAGAAUCCCGUCCAUGGCACGGACUACCAAUGCUUUGUGAUAUGCUCUCGAAGAGUCGAGUUGUUUGGGAAUGCAGCUCAAAAUGGGUGGUAAGUUCCAUCUAAAGCUAAAUAUUGGCGAGAGACCGAUAGCGAACAAGUACCGUGAGGGAAAGAUGAAAAGCACUUUGGAAAGAGAGUUAAACAGUACGUGAAAUUGUUGAAAGGGAAACGCUUGAAGUCAGUCGCGUUGUCUGAGACUCAGCCUUGCUUGCUUGGUGUACUUCUCAGUUAACGGGUCAACAUCAAUUUUGGUUGGUGGACAAAGGUUGAAGGAAUGUGGCAUCUUCGGAUGUGUUAUAGCCUUCUUCCGUAUACACUGGCUGGGAUUGAGGUCUGCAGCACGCCUUUAUGGCCGGGGUUCGCCCACGUUACGUGCUUAGGAUGUUGGCAUAAUGGCUUUAAGCGACCCGUCUUGAAACACGGACCAAGGAGUCUAACAUGCUUGCGAGUAUUAGAGUGGAAAACUCUUAUGCGUAAUGAAAGUGAAAGUUGGGACUCUUCAUUGAGGCACCGACGCCCUGCCCUGAAGUCUUCUGACGGUGCAGCGGUAGAGCACGUAUGUUGGGACCCGAAAGAUGGUGAACUAUGCCUGAAUAGGGUGAAGCCAGGGGAAACUCUGGUGGAGGCUCGUAGCGAUUCUGACGUGCAAAUCGAUCGUCAAAUUUGGG